GAUGAAGAACGUAGCGAAAUGCGAUACGUAAUGUGAAUUGCAGAAUUCAGUGAAUCAUCGAAUCUUUGAACGCAUAUUGCGCUCUCUGGUAUUCCGGAGAGCAUGCUUGUUUGAGUAUCAGUAAACACCUCAACUCCCUUUUCUUUUUUGAAAUUGGAGCUGGACUUGAGUGAUCCCAACGCUUUCUUCCAAGAAAGUGGCGGGUUGCUUGAAAUGCAGGUGCAGCUGAACUUUUCUCUGAGCUAUAAGCAUAUCUAUUUAGUCUGCCUAAAAAACAGAUUAUUACCUUUGCUGCAGCUAACAUAAAGGAGACUAGUUCUUGUGCUGACUGAUGCAGGAUUCACAGAGACAGCUUCGGCUGACUUUGUAAACUCGAUCUCAAAUCAAGUAAGACUACCCGCUGAACUUAGGCAUAUCAAUAAGCGGAGGA
rnacentral:misc_RNA from 1 species